GCGUGGAGACAGGUGGUGCAUGGCUGUCGUCAGCUCGUGUCGUGAGAUGUUGGGUUAAGUCCCGCAACGAGCGCAACCCUCACCUCUUGUUGCCACCAGGUCAUGCUGGGCACUCUAGAGGAACUGCCCCGGUCAACGGGGAGGAAGGCGGGGGAUGACGUCAAGUCAUCAUGCCCCUUACGUCCUGGGCUACACACGUGCUACAAUGGCCGGUACAAAGGGAUGCCACACCGCGAGGUAGAGCUAAACCCAAAAAGCCGGUCUAAGUUCAGAUUGGAGUCUGCAACUCGACUCCAUGAAGGAGGAAUCGCUAGUAAUCGCGUAUCAGCACGACGCGGUGAAUACGUUCCCGGGCCUUGUGCACACCGCCCGUCACACCACGAAAGCCAGCUGUACUCGAAGUCGCUGAG
rnacentral:rRNA from 1 species